rnacentral:lncRNA from 1 species
GAUAUAUUUAUUUAUUUAUUUGUUUAUUUGAAUAUUAAUUUAUUUGGGAUGAUCUCAGGGUGGCGCGGGGUCCUCGGGGUUUGGAGUGGCGACAGUGGUCGAGGUGGGUGUUGCCGGUGCCAGAGGAAGGGGACGAGGAGGGGUGCUGUACGAGGGUUAAUUGACAAUUAACCAGAGAAGUCAAUUGGGAGAGUUAAUUGGGAGAGUUAAUUAGGGUAGAAGAGUUAAUUAUCUAAGAUUAAUUAGAAUAAAUUAUUCUUCAGAUCUGCACAGAACUGAGUUUAUUAAUAUUUUUAAAUAUAUAACUCUUAUAUUUAUUAAUAUAUGUUUAUUAUAAUUUUAAAUAUAUUUAAUCUAUAUAUAAAAAUUAUAAUAAUAAUAUAUAUAGUAUAUUAAUUACUAUAUAUUUAUUAUAUAGCCGAAUUUUUGAUCCCGAAUUUUUAAUUGGUGCUUAUACCUGUAUAAAUCACUUAUCCGAAUAAUUGUCGAAUCCAUUUUUUAGCCGUAUUUUUCAACGAAUUUUAAAGUUAAAUGACGAAUUUUAUCCGAAUUUUAUCCGUACCGAAUUUUUGCCGAAUCCGAAUUAACUGACUAUGCUUCCAGCCACCAAGAUUGGUUUAGCUGUGAUCGAUCUCAUCCGUUCAUCUGGCUGUGCUUAAUUAAUUAAUAAAUAUUUGAAGGGCAAAUAAGAAAAGUAUUUGUUAUAUGAAGGGUAUAUAAGAAAAGUUAGUUACGGUACAAGGGUAUAUUGGAAUGGGCAAAAUGGUAAUUUUUCAGAGAUAACGGCAGCUCACUAACGGAACUUAACUCCAGGAGUAUAUUAGAAAAACUU